rnacentral:rRNA from 1 species
GACACGGCCCAAACUCCUACGGGAGGCAGCAGUAGGGAAUCUUCGGCAAUGGACGAAAGUCUGACCGAGCAACGCCGCGUGAGUGAAGAAGGUUUUCGGAUCGUAAAACUCUGUUGUUAGAGAAGAACAAGGAUGAGAGUAACUGUUCAUCCCUUGACGGUAUCUAACCAGAAAGCCACGGCUAACUACGUGCCAGCAGCCGCGGUAAUACGUAGGUGGCAAGCGUUGUCCGGAUUUAUUGGGCGUAAAGCGAGC